rfam:Myotis davidii contig208254, whole genome shotgun sequence.
GGAAGGUCUCGGGUGACAACUCUGGAAUCGGGGUCCCUCCUCUCUGGUUAUGGGUGCGUUAUUCGAGAACCUCA